UAGUUUUUCUCAGUAAUGCGGGCACAUAUGAACAUGGGACCACCACAGAUGCCUUCAGCUGCCAAGUGCACAUGUAACAGAUCAGCCAGUUUCAUAGGUACAAAUCUGCUGAAAGAUGUCCUUUAAAUUGCAACCAGUAAGUUUGCGGUUUUAAUUUUCUAAAUGCUCUAAUUGGUUGUUUUUAGGUAAUCCAUGUUUUUUGCACUAUUUUAUACACCUCCCCAAGGAGUCCUUUAUUUCUAGCGUGAACCUAUGAGUAUCGUUUAUGCUUUGCUAAGAAUACGUAUUCCAUUUGCUGAAAAGCAGAGUCCCUUAGUGCAAACGGUGGCCUAGGUAAUGGAAGUAGAAAACUUUCCCUCAAGAAACAUAUGUAUUGAAGUUACUGAUGUCUCCUUCAGUUUUUUUUAUCACCUUCGGAUCAUUCCUAUCCCCAAAGAGCAGCGUUCUGCCGGCAGACCUUCAGCACAGUGUCAUAAAAGGGGACUUUCUGCAUUCCCGUGAUCUGACAGCUGCACAAUAGAGUUCCAAAAAACAUUGGCCAAAGACUCUUAUUCUGCGGCCAGAAGAUGAAAUGAAUUGAUCUGUGUUCCUGUGACUGUUCCAUCUAAACAGGAACAUCAAGGAGAAUUCAAUAAUCCCUUUACUAUUCUAUACCGUGAAUCCGUGUUUAGGCUCCUGCACCAAGCUUAUUACAGUUUUAUGCAUGAGCCAAAGCCUUUGGGACAGGCUUUCUUCAUCUUACAGAAUGGGAUCUGAUCUUCUCCUGGGCUCUAAAUAUACAGCCUAUUGCCAGAACUAUAGUAUAUACAACUCUCUUCCUGAGCCUUUAGACCAACUGUACAACAUAUAUCACGAUGUGUCUUAUAUUUUCCAUACGUAUCUAUAAUAGCCACAAAGGAUAGCACACAGGAAUGCCUAUUACAAUCAGCAGCCAUCCCAGCACCAAUCACAAAGUAUAAAGGUAUCUUUUAUAUUCUGUUCAUUUGGAGAGCCCAGUUGUCCGGUACAAUAUAAGAAGUCAUAUAUUUGCUGAAUUUCAUCCAUGUAUUUAUCCCCAAAAUGAAAUCAUAUAAAUGUAUCAUUACAAUAAUGUAUAGGCCUUCAUUCACACUUUGCAGUUUUAAUACAGUAUUGUUUUUAGGGUCCAUAAUCCUCUUUUCAUUAUUUUUUUGCCAAAAAUGGAUCAGAUGCCCAGAAGCCAGAAGGGAAACUUUUCUUUUUGGAAAUCGUUUUUCUUUUCCCCAUGCUGGGAUCCGUUCCUGCUGCCUAAAAAUACAGAGCGAUGUUCAAGAUGCUAGUGUAUACAACAAGCCCCUGAAAGUGUUACUGUGCUGUAUGUCAUUAUUAAAUGUGUCAGUACUUUAAAUGAGUGCAUACAGCUUUGCUGAUGUUAGAAAGGUUGAGAAUGGUAAUUACUGUGCUGUAUGUUGACUAUAGCACUUCCUAAUCAGCAGCAAUUCAGAUUAUGUAAAUGUAUUUACAUACCAUAUGAGGCCAUCACCAGCCGUGAAUGUUGUUUCUAAAAUUAUCUGCUUUACCUAAGGUCUUCCAUGCUGUUUGCAGGUUCUGACAACAGCCUGGAUGUGUAAAUGAGCUUUACUAUGUCCAGUCCGGGCAGGAUAUAUACACCUGCUGGACCAUCCAUGUCCUUUCAUGUAUUUGGCAUGAACAAAGUUGUCUUCCUUCCUAGUAUACUGGCAGAUCAGACAAAA